GCCCUCGAUGGCGAUGUCGAAGUCUCGAUCAGUGAAGACGCGCUUGACGAAAGUCGCGAAGUCCUGCGUUC
rnacentral:sRNA from 1 species